GUGCCAGCAGCCGCGGUAAUACGUAGGGGGCAAGCGUUGUCCGGAAUUAUUGGGCGUAAAGCGCGCGCAGGCGGCGAAUUAAGUUUGGUGUUUAAGCCCGGGGCUCAACCCCGGAUCGCACUGAAAACUGGUUGGCUUGAGUGCGGGAGAGGAAAGUGGAAUUCCACGUGUAGCGGUGAAAUGCGUAGAGAUGUGGAGGAACACCAGUGGCGAAGGCGACUUUCUGGACCGUAACUGACGCUGAGGCGCGAAAGCGUGGGGAGCAAACAGGAUUAGAUACCCGCGUAGUCC
rnacentral:rRNA from 1 species